rnacentral:sRNA from 1 species
UCUUCGUCAGCGCGACGGAGGUGAGAGCCUCCUUAGGUUCGACUAGAGCGAAGCGAAAGAACGUCGGAGCUUGCGACGACGGCCCGAAGGGCAUCAGUCAUCCUCCCGAGCGCACCA